GCGAAAUUGGUGGAAUUGGUAUACACGCUAUCUUGAGGGGGUAGUGGACGUAAGUCCGUGGGGGUUCAAAUCCCCCAUUUCGCACCA
rnacentral:tRNA from 1 species